rnacentral:rRNA from 1 species
CCUACGGGUGGCAGCAGUGAGGAAUAUUGGUCAAUGGACGCAAGUCUGAACCAGCCAAGCCGCGUGAAGGAAGACGGCUCUAUGAGUUGUAAACUGCUUUUGUAAAAGGAUAAAGCCCGGUACGUGUAUCGGGUUGAAAGUAUCGUACGAAUAAGGAUCGGCUAACUCCGUGCCAGCAGCCGCGGUAAUACGGAGGAUUCAAGCGUUAUCCGGAUUUAUUGGGUUUAAAGGGGGCGUAGGUGGGUCGUUAAGUUAGGGGUGAAAGCCCGGGGCUCAACCCCGGCAGUGCCGUUGAUACUGGCGGGCUGGAGUUUAGUUGAGGUAGGCGGAAUGCAUGGUGUAGCGGUGAAAUGCUUAGAUAUCAUGCAGAACUCCGAUUGCGAAGGCAGCUUACCAAACUACGACUGACGUUGAGGCACGAAAGCGUGGGGAGCAAACAGGAUUAGAUACCCUAGUAGUC